UACGUAGGGGGCGAGCGUUGUCCGGAUUUAUUGGGCGUAAAGCGCUCGCAGGUGGUUCGUCGCGUCGUGCGUGAAAGACCCCGGCUCAACUGGGGAGUGUCGUGCGAUACGGGCAGGCUAGAGGUAGGUAGGGGAGAAUGGAAUUCCCGGUGUAGCGGUGAAAUGCGCAGAUAUCGGGAGGAGCACCGGUGGCGAAGGCGGUUCUCUGGGCCUUACCUGACGCUGAGGAGCGAAAGCGUGGGGAGCGAACAGG
rnacentral:rRNA from 1 species